rnacentral:rRNA from 1 species
GAUGAACGCGGGCGGCGUGCUUAAUACAUGCAAGUAGAACGCUGAAGCUUGGUGCUUGCACCGAGCGGUGAGUUGCGAACGGGUGAGUAACGCGUAGGUAACCUGCCUCUUAGCGGGGGAUAACUAUGGGAAACGAUAGCUAAUACCGCAUAAAAGUCGGUAUCGCAUGAUAUUGAUUUGAAAGGUGCAAUUGCAUCACUAAGAGAUGGACCUGCGUUGUAUAGCUAGUUGGUGAGGUAACGGCUCACCAAGGCGACGAUACAUAGCCGACCUGAGAGGGUGAUCGGCCACACUGGGACUGAGACACGGCCCAGACUCCUACGGGAGGCAGCAGUAGGGAAUCUUCGGCAAUGGGGGCAACCCUGACCGAGCAACGCCGCGUGAGUGAAGAAGGUUUUCGGAUCGUAAAGCUCUGUUGUAAGAGAAGAACGAGUGUGAGAGUGGAAAGUUCACACUGUGACGGAACUACCAGAAAGGCGCAU